UACGUGAGGGUGCGAGCGUUGUCCGGAAUUACUGGGCGUAAAGAGCUCGUAGGUGGUUUGUCGCGUUGUUCGUGAAAACUCACAGCUCAACUGUGGGCGUGCGGGCGAUACGGGCAGACUGGAGUACUGCAGGGGAGACUGGAAGUUCCUGGUGUAGCGGUGAAAUGCGCAGAUAUCAGGAGGAACACCGGUGGCGAAGGCGGGUCUCUGGGCAGUAACUGACGCUGAGGAGCGAAAGCGUGGGGAGCGAACAGG
rnacentral:rRNA from 1 species